GACGAACGCUGGCGGCGUGCUUAACACAUGCAGGUCGUACGGUAAGGCCCUUUCGGGGGUACACGAGUGGCGCACGGGUGAGUAACACGUGAGUAACCUGCCCACAACUUUGGGAUAACGCUAGGAAACUGGUGCUAAUACUGGAUAUGUGCUCCUGCUGCAUGGUGGGGGUUGUAAAGCUCCGGCGGUUGUGGAUGGACUCGCGGCCUAUCAGCUUGUUGGUGGGGUAGUGGCCUACCAAGGCGGCGACGGGUAGCCGGCCUGAGAGGGUGACCGGCCACAUUGGGACUGAGAUACGGCCCAGACUCCGACGGGAGGCAGCAGUGGGGAAUAUUGCACAAUGGGCGCAAGCCUGAUGCAGCAGCGCCGCGUGCGGGAUGACGGCCUUCGGGUUGUAAACCGCUUUCAGCAGGGACGAAGCUUUUUGUGACGGUACCUGCAGAAGAAGCACCGGCUAACUACGUG
rnacentral:rRNA from 1 species